rnacentral:misc_RNA from 1 species
UUUCCGUAGGUGAACCUGCGGAAGGAUCAUUAAAGAGAAUAUGCCCUUCGGGGUAGAUCUCCCACCCUUUUAUUGUCUUACCUUUGUUGCUUGGGCAGGCCCGUCUUCGGACCACCGGUUUCGGCUGUUCAGUGCUUGCCAGAGGACCCAAAACCCUUAUUAUUAAUGUCGACUGAGUACUAUAUAUUAGUUAAAACUUUCAACAACGGAUCUCUUGGUUCUG